UGGGAAUAUUGCGCAAUGGGGGCAACCCUGACGCAGCAACGCCGCGUGCGGGAUGAAGGCUUUCGGGUUGUAAACCGCUUUCAGCAGGGAUGACAUCGACAGUACCUGCAGAAGAAGCCCCGGCUAACUACGUGCC
rnacentral:rRNA from 1 species